UACGUAGGGUGCGAGCGUUAAUCGGAAUUACUGGGCGUAAAGGGUGCGCAGGCGGCUUGCUAAGACAGGUGUGAAAGCCCCGAGCUUAACUUGGGAAUGGCGCUUGUGACUGGCAGGCUGGAGUGUGGCAGAGGGAGGUGGAAUUCCGACGUGUAGCAGUGAAAUGCGUAGAGAUGUGGAGGAACACCGAUGGCGAAGGCAGCCUCCUGGGCCAACACUGACGCUCAGUGCACGGAAAGCGUGGGGAGCAAACAGGAUU
rnacentral:rRNA from 1 species